rnacentral:rRNA from 1 species
CCAAGCAGCCGCGGUAAUUCCAGCUCCAAUAGCGUAUAUUUAAGUUGUUGCAGUUAAAAAGCUCGUAGUUGGAUUUUGGGUGCGGCAGGCCGGUCCGCCGUUUCGGUGUGCACUGGCAGGCGGCAUCUUUCUGUCGAGGACGCGCUCCUGGCUUUCAUUGGUCGGGACGCGGAGUCGGCGACGUUACUUUGAAAAAAUUAGAGUGUUCAAAGCGGGCCUACGCUUGAAUAUAUUAGCAUGGAAUAACACUAUAGGACUCCUGUCCUAUUCUGUUGGUCUUCGGGAUGGGAGUAAUGAUUAAGAGGAACAGUUGGGGGCAUUCGUAUUUCAUUGUCAGAGGUGAAAUUCUUGGAUUUAUGAAAGACGAACUUCUGCGAAAGCAUUUGCCAAGGAUGUUUUCAUUAAUCAAGAACGAAAGUUGGGGGCUCGAAGAUGAUUAGAUACCAUCCUAGUCUCAACCAUAAACGAUGCCGACUAGGGAUUGGCGGAUGUUGAUUUGAUGACUUCGCCAGCACCUUAUGAGAAAUCAAAGUCUUUGGGUUCCGGGGGGAGUAUGGUCGCAAGGCUGAAACUUAAAGGAAUUGACGGAAGGGCACCACCAGGAGUGGAGCCUGCGGCUUAAUUUGACUCAACACGGGGAAACUUACCAGGUCCAGACAUAGUAAGGAUUGACAGAUUGAGAGCUCUUUCUUGAUUCUAUGGGUGGUGGUGCAUGGCCGUUCUUAGUUGGUGGAGUGAUUUGUCUGGCUAAUCCCGUUAACGAACGAGACCUCAGCCUGCUAACUAGUCACGGCCUUUCUGAUAAGGCUGGCAGUACUUCUUAGAGGGACUAUUGGCGAUUAGCCAAUGGAAGUUUGAGGCAAUAACAGGUCUGUGAUGCCCAAGGCGAAUCGCGCCGCUAAUCCAGUCGCCUAU